rnacentral:rRNA from 1 species
AUUGAACGCUGGCGGCAUGCCUUACACAUGCAAGUCGAACGGCAGCACGGGGCAACCUGGUGGCGAGUGGCGAACGGGUGAGUAAUGCAUCGGAACGUACCUUUCAGUGGGGGAUAACGUAGCGAAAGUUACGCUAAUACCGCAUAUUCUGUGAGCAGGAAAGCAGGGGAUCGCAAGACCUUGCGCUGAUUGAGCGGCCGAUGUCAGAUUAGCUAGUUGGUGAGGUAUUGGCUCACCAAGGCGACGAUCUGUAGCGGGUCUGAGAGGAUGAACCGCCAAACGGGAAGUGGGACACGGUCCAGACUCCUACGGGAGGCAGCAGUGGGGAAUUUUGGACAAUGGGGGCAACCCUGUCCCAGCCAUGCCGCGUGAGUGAAGAAGGCCUUCGGGUUGUAAAGCUCUUUCGGCCGGGAAGAAAUCGCACGGGCUAAUACCCUGUGUGGAUGACGGUACCGGAAUAAGAAGCACCGGCUAACUACGUGCCAGCCGCCGCCGUAA